AAGAGUUUGAUCCUGGCUCAGGAUGAACGUUAGCGGCGUGCCUAACACAUGCAAGUCGAGCGAUGAGGCCCCUUCGGGGGCACAUCAGCGGCGAACGGGUGAGUAACACGUAGGCGACCUGCCCCGAAGAGGGGGAUAACUGCUGGAAACGGCGGCUAAUACCCCAUGUGCUCCGUGGGGUUAGAGGCCCACGGAGUAAAGCUCCGGCGCUUCGGGAGGGGCCUGCGGCCUAUCAGCUAGUUGGUAGGGUAAUGGCCUACCAAGGCGAUGACGGGUAGCCGGCCUGAGAGGGUGGUCGGCCACACUGGCACUGAGACACGGGCCAGACUCCUACGGGAGGCAGCAGUGAGGGAUCUUGCGCAAUGGGCGAAAGCCUGACGCAGCGACGCCGCGUGGGGGAAGAAGGCCUUCGGGUCGUAAACCCCUUUUCUGGGGGAAGAGGAAGGACGGUACCCCAGGAAUAAGUCCCGGCUAACUACGUGCCAGCAGCCGCGGUAAAACGUAGGGGGCUAGCGUUAUCCGGAUUUACUGGGCGUAAAGCGCGCGUAGGCGGCUCCGCAAGUCGGGCGUGAAAGCUCCCGGCUCAACCGGGAGAUGCCGUUCGAUACUGCGGGGCUUGAGGGCAGGAGAGGGAGGCGGAAUUCCCGGUGUAGCGGUGAAAUGCGCAGAUAUCGGGAGGAACACCAGUGGCGAAGGCGGCCUCCUGGCCUGUUCCUGACGCUGAGGAGCAAAAGCUAGGGGAGCGAACGGGAUUAGAGACCCCGGUAGUCCUAGCCGUAAACGAUGGAUGCUAGGUGUGGGUGGCAUUGACCCCAUCCGUGCCGAAGCUAACGCGUUAAGCAUCCCGCCUGGGGACUACGGCCGCAAGGCUAAAACUCAAAGGAAUUGACGGGGGCCCGCACAAGCAGCGGAGCGUGUGGUUUAAUUCGAUGCGACACGAAGAACCUUACCAGGGCUUGACAUGACGGUGGUAGCAAGGCGAAAGCCAAGCGACCCUUUGGGGAGCCGUCACAGGUGCUGCAUGGCUGUCGUCAGCUCGUGUCGUGAGGUGUUGGGUUAAGUCCCGCAACGAGCGCAACCCUCGUCGCUAGUUGUACUUCUCUAGCGAGACUGCCGAGAUAAACUCGGAGGAAGGUGGGGAUGACGUCAAGUCAGCAUGGCCUUUAUGUCCUGGGCGACACACACGCUACAAUGGCCGGCACAAUGGGUUGCCAAGCCGCGAGGCGGAGCUAAUCCCAUCAAAGCCGGUCUCAGUUCGGAUUGGAGUCUGCAACCGACUCCAUGAAGCCGGAGUUGCUAGUAACCGCGCGUCAGCCAUAGUGCGGUGAAUACGUUCCCGGGCCUUGCACACACCGCCCGU
rnacentral:rRNA from 1 species